rnacentral:lncRNA from 1 species
AAUCAACUUUCAACUUUAAAAUCAAAUUAACUAAAAAAGCAAUUUAUCCGUACAACCAAAAAAUCAUUAUAAAUCAUACAUCGCAUCAAUUCAAAAAUUAAUAUAUUUACGCUAGUUUAAUGAUUAUUUUUGAAUAUUAAGCCUGCUAUCGUUAGGUUCGGGGUUAAGAAAAAAUUAGUUAUUCCAGAAAUAGGGUUAAGUUUAGGGUUAAGAUAGGGUUAAAGUAUUUUUUUGUUUGGUUGGGGGUUGGAGUUAGUUCAGAAUAGUGAAAAAUAGUGUUUGGUUGGAAUAGGUGGGAUAAGAAGGAUAAUGGGUUAUUAUGAACAUAAAAUAGUGUUUGGUUGGGUUUGGUGGAGUUAGGUGAGGUUAGUUAACCCGGGAUAACCCAUUUGAGGUGGAAUUAGCUAAUCCCACCUAUUUUUAGAAGUGUUUGGGAAUAAAAUGAGGGUUAAAGAGUUAUUCCACCCCUUAAUCCCCAACCAAACGGAGAGGAUAGCAUUUUCUGAAUCGAAAAAUUUGAAUAAUACUAUACUUAAAAAUAAAUUUUAUAAUAUUUUACGAACUA